GGCAGGGCGGGGUGCUAUACAUGCAAGUCGAGCGAAUGGAUUAAGAGCUUGCUCUUAUGAAGUUAGCGGCGGACGGGUGAGUAACACGUGGGUAACCUGCCCAUAAGACUGGGAUAACUCCGGGAAACCGGGGCUAAUACCGGAUAACAUUUUGAACCGCAUGGUUCGAAAUUGAAAGGCGGCUUCGGCUGUCACUUAUGGAUGGACCCGCGUCGCAUUAGCUAGUUGGUGAGGUAACGGCUCACCAAGGCAACGAUGCGUAGCCGACCUGAGAGGGUGAUCGGCCACACUGGGACUGAGACACGGCCCAGACUCCUACGGGAGGCAGCAGUAGGGAAUCUUCCGCAAUGGACGAAAGUCUGACGGAGCAACGCCGCGUGAGUGAUGAAGGCUUUCGGGUCGUAAAACUCUGUUGUUAGGGAAGAACAAGUGCUAGUUGAAUAAGCUGGCACCUUGACGGUACCUAACCAGAAAGCCACGGCUAACUACGUGCCAGCAGCCGCGGUAAUACGUAGGUGGCAAGCGUUAUCCGGAAUUAUUGGGCGUAAAGCGCGCGCAGGUGGUUUCUUAAGUCUGAUGUGAAAGCCCACGGCUCAACCGUGGAGGGUCAUUGGAAACUGGGAGACUUGAGUGCAGAAGAGGAAAGUGGAAUUCCAUGUGUAGCGGUGAAAUGCGUAGAGAUAUGGAGGAACACCAGUGGCGAAGGCGACUUUCUGGUCUGUACUGACACUGAGGCGCGAAAGCGUGGGGAGCAACACGAUUAAAAUACCCGGUAGUCCACCCCCUAACAAUGAGUGCUAGUGUUAGAGGAUUCUCCCCUUCCUUCUGAAGUAA
rnacentral:rRNA from 2 species